rnacentral:rRNA from 1 species
UGCAGUCGAGCGGGGAAAGGUAGCUUGCUACUGGACCUAGCGGCGGACGGGUGAGUAAUACUUAGGAAUCUGCCUAUUAGUGGGGGACAACGUUCCGAAAGGAGCGCUAAUACCGCAUACGCCCUACGGGGGAAAGCAGGGGAUCUUCGGACCUUGCGCUAAUAGAUGAGCCUAAGUCGGAUUAGCUAGUUGGUAGGGUAAAGGCCUACCAAGGCGACAAUCUGUAGCGGGUCUGAGAGGAUGAUCCGCCACACUGGAACUGAGACACGGCCCAGACUCCUACGGGGGCGGCAGUGGUGAAUAUUGGACAUUGGGGGGGAACCCUGAUCCA